CCUUGGAAGGGGGAGGGGAACGGGAAGAGCUCCAAAUUAUAAUUUGGCCCCCUUCGUGUGUCCGAGUUGAAAUCUCUAGAAAUGUUUUCCGCGUUGGACCGCACACAAGUCUGUUGGAAUACAGCGGCAUAGUGGUGAGACCCCCGUAUAUGGGGGGGGCCCCCCAGCGCUUUGUGAUACAUUUUCGAAGAGUCGAGUUGUUUGGGAAUGCAGCUCAAAUUGGGUGGGUAAAUUCCAUCUAAAGCUAAAUAUUGGCGAGAGACCGAUAGCGAACCAAGUACCGUGAGGGAAAGAUGAAAAGCACUUUGGAAAGAGAGUUUAACAGUACGUGAAAUUGUUGGAAGGGAAACGCUUGAAAGUCAGACUUGCUUGCCGAGCAAGUCAGACUUGCUUGCCGAGCCAUCAGUUUUCCGGGAUGGAUAAUGGUAGAGAGAAGGUAGCAGUUUCGGCUGGUGUUAUAGCUCUCUGCUGGAUACAUCUUGGGGGACUGAGGAACGCAGUGUGCCUUUGGGGGGGGGUUCCACCCCCUUCCCCCUUAGAAUGCGGGGGAAAGGGUUUUAACCAACCCGCCUUGAACCCCGGACC
rnacentral:rRNA from 1 species